ensembl:lncRNA
UUUGUUUUAGCUGAUUUAAUAACCCUACUACAAACCUUUAACUACUUUUAAAUAUUUAAUAAUUUGAUAUUGACCCCUUAGAACAUCUGUCAGCCCAUUAGAAUGAAUCAAUCAUGAGUGCCUUUAUAAAUACAUGCAAUUCAUAAUUCUGAACAUGAGGUUAGGUUGGAGUCCAAGUAGUGCUGAACCCAUUUGUAUACUGCAGUAUGUCAUUAUGACCACUAGAUGACACUGUUAUACCUAAAGAUAGCUGGUGAAACCAUGAAGUCAAAUGCUGGUCACAGCCUCAAUCUUAAAUACAUCUGUGACGUAAAUUUGGAAAUUCCAAGAGCUUAUUUGUGAAAAUCCUGGGCUAUUCCUCGACCAUGUGAGUUUUCGCAGGCACGUGUGAUUUCUCUUGUGCUCACGUCAUAUUCCAGCUGCUCUAGAUUCUUUCCAAUUGAAGUUUCUCACCAUCCCACUUUCACAUGGUAAAAAUUAUCUUUCAUGUCAAAAACAUCAGAAUGGAUUACAGAUUUAUUGUAAACUAGGGUAAAGGCCUUUUAUACGUUUAAAGCCUCUGUAGCUACUUUUUGUGAAUCUUAUUUAGUUGUAUAUACUGUAUAUUUGUUAUAUAAUUAAAUGUACAAAGUGUAAAUGUUCAGUUAGUGUGGCCAUUAUGGAGGCUUUUAGAGAAACUGUCAUGGUGACAGGAGGUUUUGCUCAUCCAUGAUCUCCCUGUGGGGAGUUUGAUGAGGAGAUAUUGUCCAGUUGUUGUAUGUUAGGGUUGUAUUGGUUUGUGAGAGAUAUGAUGUAAUAAUAUUGUCUCAUUCUGUCUCUACAUUACUUUUUCCCUCUCUUUGUCAUGUAGAAGUCCUUUCUUGAAGAGACAGUUAGGCGUGAGUGUGAAGAGAGGGAAGAACUGAUUGCAGCACUGACCCUGACCAAAGAUCAACUACUGGAACUCAAACACUCCAAAACAAAACCAAAUGACACCCAGACACACACCCAGCUCUCCAGAGUCAGACCUACAGUGAAAAACCCGGAUCUCCCUUUCCCCAGACUCAAUCCCAGCCCUCCCAGCCAUCCUCAGACACGCAACCACAGCUCUUUGUCCACUCAGGGCACCAGGCAGCGUUUGUCUGAGUGGAAUUCUUGUAGUAUGAGUAGAAGUUCGACAUCCUGGCAUGGAUCAUCACUGCCAACACCCACCCUGCCCAAAAUCAGCAAAGAGAGAGUCACUUCAGUGAAUGACUUGUGCAAAAGCAUCACUAUGGUCAGAGGUUACCAUAUAGUUGAAAUGAUAGCAACACCAAGGGAAAGGUGGUAAGUAGCUAAUUACAAAUAUUUUUUGUUACAGUACAUAGGUACUUUUUUCUACUUUCUUAUAUAUAAUUAAAUUGUGGUACUUUUACUUGAGUUGAAUAAAAAUAGUAUUCAACUUUGCUACUUUUAUUUU